rnacentral:rRNA from 1 species
CAAUAGCGUAUAUUUAAGUUGUUGCAGUUAAAAAGCUCGUAGUUGGAUUUCGGUUAAGAGCGACCGGUCCGCCGUUUGGUGUGCACUGGUUGGUUUUAACUUCCUGUAGAGGACGCGCUCUGGGUUUAACGACCUGGACUCGGAGUCUACGUGGUUACUUUGAAAAAAUUAGAGUGUUCAAAGCGGGCUUACGCUUGAAUAUUUCAGCAUGGAAUAACACUAUAGGACUCCUGUCCUAUUUCGUUGGUCUCGGGACGGGAGUAAUGAUUAAGAGGAACAGUUGGGGGCAUUCGUAUUUCAUUGUCAGAGGUGAAAUUCUUGGAUUUAUGAAAGACGAACUUCUGCGAAAGCAUUUGCCAAGGAUGUUUUCAUUAA